CUGUGAGACAGGUGCUGCAUGGCUGUCGUCAGCUCGUGUUGUGAAAUGUUGGGUUAAGUCCCGCAACGAGCGCAACCCUUAUCCUUUGUUGCCAGCGGUUCGGCCGGGAACUCAAAGGAGACUGCCAGUGAUAAACUGGAGGAAGGUGGGGAUGACGUCAAGUCAUCAUGCCCUUACGACCAGGGCUACACACGUGCUACAAUGGCAUAUACAAAGAGAAGCGACCUCGCGAGAGCAAGCGGACCUCAUAAAGUAUGUCGUAGUCCGG
rnacentral:rRNA from 1 species